rnacentral:rRNA from 1 species
AUUGAACGCUGGCGGCAGGCCUAACACAUGCAAGUCGAGCGGCAGCGGGAAAGUAGCUUGCUACUUUUGCCGGCGAGCGGCGGACGGGUGAGUAAUGCCUGGGGAUCUGCCCAGUCGAGGGGGAUAACUACUGGAAACGGUAGCUAAUACCGCAUACGCCCUACGGGGGAAAGCAGGGGACCUUCGGGCCUUGCGCGAUUGGAUGAACCCAGGUGGGAUUAGCUAGUUGGUGAGGUAAUGGCUCACCAAGGCGACGAUCCCUAGCUGGUCUGAGAGGAUGAUCAGCCACACUGGAAAUGAGACACGGUCCAGACUCCUACGGGAGGCAGCAGUGGGGAGUAUUGCACAAUGGGGGAAACCCUGAUGCAGCCAUGCCGCGUGUGUGAAGAAGGCCUUCGGGUUGUAAAGCACUUUCAGCGAGGAGGAAAGGUUGGUAGCUAAUAACUGCCAGCUGUGACGUUACUCGCAGAAGAAGCACCGGCUAACUCCGUGCCAGCCGCCGCUGUAA